rnacentral:rRNA from 1 species
CACGUAAGUUGCGAGCGUUGUUCGGAAUUGUUGGGCGUAAAGGGCAUGUAGGCGGAUUUGCAAGCUUGAUGUGAAAUCCCGCAGCUUAACUGCGGAACUGCAUUGGGAACUGCAAGACUAGAGUUACUGAGGGGAAACUAGAAUUCCAAGUGUAGGGGUGAAAUCUGUAGAUAUUUGGAAGAAUACCAAUGGCGAAGGCAAGUUUCUGGCAGAUAACUGACGCUGAGGUGCGAAGGUGCGGGGAGCAAACAGG